rnacentral:rRNA from 1 species
UGGAUUAGUGGCGAACGGGUGAGUAACACGUGAGCAAUCUGCCCCUGACUCUGGGAUAACUCCGAGAAAUCGGUGCUAAUACCGAAUAUUGAAACAUAAGUGGCAUCACUGAGUUUUGAAAGAAUUUCGGUGGAGGAUGACUUCGCGGCCUAUCAGCUAGUUGGUGAGGUAAUGGCUCACCAAGGCAACGACGGGUAGCCGGCCUGAGAGGGCGACCGGCCACACUGGGACUGAGACACGGCCCAGACUCC